UACGUAGGGUGCAAGCGUUAAUCGGAAUUACUGGGCGUAAAGCGUGCGCAGGCGGCUUUGCAAGACAGAUGUGAAAUCCCCGGGCUUAACCUGGGAACUGCAUUUGUGACUGCAUGGCUGGAGUGCGGCAGAGGGGGAUGGAAUUCCGCGUGUAGCAGUGAAAUGCGUAGAUAUGCGGAGGAACACCGAUGGCGAAGGCGAUCCCCUGGGCAUGCACUGACGCUCAUGAACGAAAGCGUGGGGAGCAAACAGG
rnacentral:rRNA from 1 species